rnacentral:rRNA from 1 species
CUUAAUGAGGGGAACUCAGGGAACUGAAACAUCUAAGUACCUGAAGGAAGAGAAAGAAAUUCGAUUCCGUAAGUAGCGGCGAGCGAACGCGGAUUAGCCCAAACCAAUAAAGUUUUCUUUAUUGGGGUUGCGGACAUAUCAUAACGAAGAGGUAUCGUAAUUGAAGAGGUUUGGAAAGACCCACCACAGAAGGUAAUAGUCCUGUAUGUUAAACGAGAAGACUUCAGAUAUGAUCCAGAGUACCACGGGACACGUGAAACCCUGUGGGAAGCAGGAGGGACCACCCUCCAAGGCUAAAUACUACCUAGUGACCGAUAGCGUAUAGUACCGUGAGGGAAAGGUGAAAAGAACCCCGGGAGGGGAGUGAAAUAGAACCUGAAACCCUGCACUUACAAGCUGUGGAAGCACAUUUCUUGUGUGACCGCGUACUUUUUGUAGAACGGGCCAACGAGUUACGUUAAGUAGCAAGGUUAAGCACUUAAGGUGUGGAGCCGUAGCGAAAGCGAGUUUUAACUGAGCGUUCAGUUACUUGACGUAGACCCGAAACCGGGCGACCUACCCAUGAGCAGGAUGAAGCGAAAGUAAAAUUUCGUGGAGGUCCGAACCCACGAGCGUUGAAAAGCUCGGGGAUGACUUGUGGGUAGCGGUGAAAUUCCAAUCGAGCCCGGAGAUAGCUGGUUCUCCC